rnacentral:rRNA from 1 species
CCUACGGGUGGCAGCAGUGGGGAAUAUUGCACAAUGGGGGAAACCCUGAUGCAGCGACGCCGCGUGAGUGAAGAAGUAUCUCGGUACGUAAAGCUCUAUCAGCAGGGAAGAAAAUGACGGUACCUGACUAAGAAGCCCUGGCUAACUACGUGCCAGCAGCCGCGGUAAUGAGUAGGGGGCCAGCGUUAUCCGGAUUUACUGGGUGUAAAGGGAGCGUAGACGGCAGCACAAGUUUGGAGUGAAAUCCCGGGGCUUAACCCCCGAACUGCUUUGGAAACUGGGCGGCUGGAGUGCAGGAGGGGUAAGCGGAAUUCCUAGUGUAGCGGUGAAAUGCGUAGAUAUUAGGAGGAACACCGGUGGCGAAGGCAGCUUACUGGACUGUAACUGACGUUGAGGCUCGAAAGCGUGGGGAGCAAACAGGAUUAGAUACCCCUGUAGUC